ANAGUUUGAUCAUGGCUCAGAAUGAACGCUGGCGGCGUGCUUAACACAUGCAAGUCGAACGGUAACAGAGGGAGCUUGCUUCCUGCUGACGAGUGGCGCACGGGUGAGUAAUGCAUAGGUAACGUGCCCCUUAGUCUGGGAUAGCCACUGGAAACGGUGAUUAAUACCGGAUACUCCUUCUACCUUAAUGGUAGUCGGGAAAGUUUUUCGCUAAGGGAUCGGCCUAUGUUGUAUCAGGUAGUUGGUAGGGUAAUGGCCUACCAAGCCUAUGACACAUAGCGGGUCUGAGAGGAUGAUCCGCCACACUGGUACUGAGACACGGACCAGACUCCUACGGGAGGCAGCAGUGGGGAAUAUUGCACAAUGGGGGAAACCCUGAUGCAGCAACGCCGCGUGGAGGAUGACACAUUUCGGUGCGUAAACUCCUUUUAUAUAAGAAGAUAAUGACGGUAUUAUAUGAAUAAGCACCGGCUAACUCCGUGCCGGCAGCCGCGGUAAUACGGAGGGUGCAAGCGUUAUUCGGAAUCACUGGGCGUAAAGGGUGCGUAGGCGGUUUGGAAAGUCAGAUGUGAAAGCCUAUGGCUUAACCAUAGAACUGCAUUUGAAACUUCCAGACUAGAAUACUGAAGGGGCAGAUGGAAUUAGUGGUGUAGGGGUAAAAUCCGUAGAUAUCACUAGGAAUACCGAAAGCGAAAGCGAUCUGCUGGGAAGUUAUUGACGCUGAGGCACGAAAGCGUGGGGAGCAAACGGGAUUAGAUACCCCGGUAGUCCACGCCCUAAACGAUGAAU
rnacentral:rRNA from 1 species